UUUUAAGCGUCUCUCAAGUUGAGUUUUCCCGGCGUCCUCCCCGAACCCAAACGUGUUAUCCUAGUAUGGUGGCUUACGCCUGUAAUCCUAGCACUUGGGAGGCCAAGGCAGGAGGUGUGUGAGGCGUGUGAGGUGUGUGCUAGGCUCCUAUCAAGCACCGGGGCAGCAGGGACACUGCCUCAAAAAAACAAAACAAGCGACGGUGAGGGUCUCCGGGACACGCAGCUUGGUGCUCCCGCCUGCAUGGCGGCGCACGGGCGGCCGGAGAAGCUGUGUCUUUGUUCGCGAGCGCCCAGACCAGGCUGGCCUCAAACGAGAGAGAGACAGGGAGAGAGAUCUGCCGCGCAGCUGGAAAAUCAUCAUCAGUGUUGCGAUCACCGUCCUCUCAGCAUGAAGUAGUGUGACUUGAGUCUAUAAACAAAGAAGAGGGGAGGGCAGAGCCACCCGGCAGGCAGCAAACAGAAAGAAAAAAGAAAAAUGACUAAGAGGUCCUGGGAUGUAGGACAGUCCUGGGAUGCGGCACAUGUCUGCACAAGGCCCUGGGCUCAAUCUCCAGCACGCUUCCCGCAAGCUGAGAUACAUUCAAAAUAUUGUAUUUGAAAUUUGUUCCGUAGGAGCAGAGUCCAGGCUGAUCUAGAACUGACUCUGUAGCCCAGCCUGGCUUUGAACUCAUGGAAACCACCACUUUGUCCCCUGUCCUACCUCCUCCGUGUGGAGAUUACUGGAGUGAACCUACAAAUAUCUCAGCCUCAACUUUGGAAGACUCUGCCAUCUCUGAAUACUUCUACCCUGGGACCAAGUCUCCAAUACAGGAGUCUUUCAGGGAACUCAUUUAAAUGACAUCCAAACCAAAGCAAUAAAGGUAAACUAGAGUCCUUACAGCAAAGAAA